rfam:Asian citrus Psyllid, Diaphorina citri - Florida Strain, whole genome shotgun sequence.
GCCUAGUUAGCUUACUUUGUAGAGCGUCUGCCUUGUAAGCACUAGGCCACGGGUUUGAUUCCCACCCAGGGCA